rnacentral:rRNA from 1 species
GAUGAACGCUAGCGGCAGGCCUAACACAUGCAAGUCGAGGGGUAGAACACUUCGGUGUUUGAGACCGGCGCACGGGUGCGUAACGCGUAUGCAAUCUACCUUAUACAGGGGAAUAGCCCAGAGAAAUUUGGAUUAAUGCCCCAUAGUAUUACGACUUGGCAUCAAGAUGUAAUUAAAGUUCCAACGGUAUAAGAUGAGCAUGCGUCCCAUUAGUUAGUUGGUAAGGUAACGGCUUACCAAGACGAUGAUGGGUAGGGGUCCUGAGAGGGGGAUCCCCCACACUGGUACUGGGACACGGACCAGACUCCUACGGGAGGCAGCAGUGAGGAAUAUUGGUCAAUGGUCGCAAGACUGAACCAGCCAUGCCGCGUGCAGGAAGACGGUCCUAUGGAUUGUAAACUGCUUUUAUACAGGAAGAAACCCUCCCACGUGUGGGAGCUUGACGGUACUGUAGGAAUAAGGAUCGGCUAACUCCGUGCCAGCCGCCGCGGUAAAAC